CAGUAUUGUGUGUGCCAAUUUGUACGCGAUAAGGAAGGUAUAGGAUCAGUAUUGUGUGUGCCAAUUUGUACGCGAUAAGGAAGGUAUAGGAUCAGUAUUACGUGUGCCAAUUUGUACGCGAUAAGGAAGGUAUAGGAUCAGUAUUGUGUGCGCCAAUUUGUACGCGAUAAGGAAGGUAUAGGAUCAGUAUUGUGUGUGCCAAUUUGUACGCGAUAAGGAAGGUAUAGGAUCAGUAUUGUGUGCGCCAAUUUGUACGCGAUAAGGAAGGUAUAGGAUCAGUAUUUUGUGUGCCAAUUUGUACGCGAUAAGGAAGGUAUAGGAUCAGUAUUGUGUGCGCCAAUUUGUACGCGAUAGAAAGAAAUAGAAAACGAGGGCGAUGUCUACCCCGAACGAAACUCUCUAGCAGAACACAAGGAGGC